GGUAUGACAACAAGCUUAUUUUAUAUGAACGAGGAGUAGCUAACUUGUAUUUUGUACAAUAUCAUGGUCGGAGAAUAUCACUCUUUUAAUUUUGGUGGAGAGGAUUUUCCUUUGAUUGUAUAGAAUUUGCUUGCAGGAAAAAGAAAGGAUUAUAUAGCUCAAGUCUUUCCAUGCACUCCAUAACAUAAGCAUGGGAAUUGUUUGCACCAUCAAGGGGAAGACAUUAAAAAUGAGAAGCCAAGUUUUGUAGUCAUGCAUCCAAAAAAAAAUUAUUGCUCUAACCAUAU
rnacentral:lncRNA from 1 species